AUUUAACUGUCAGCAUCUGGACUGAAAUACAUCCUUUUGGCCACCAGAUGCCACCCUUAUAGACUUUUGGUUUCCUUUUUUUUCUGUCUUUGAGAGUGUCUUGGUAAUAUGUUCCAUCUGUGUCUUAAUUGUGCUGUGUAUUUAAGUUGCCGUUUUGUAGCUGUCUUUGUCCUGUCUACCUUGAGUAAGUGCUACCUUGUGCUCUCUUUUGUUGGACUGUUGCUGUGCUUGAAAACUCUCUUGUGUUUAGUUUAAUUUUCUUUGAGUUUCUUGUAUUUUGAAACUUGUUUACAAGUUUUUUGGAUUGUGUUCUUUGGAACCUAAAGACUGUUGUGCCUGAGUACUUUCUUGUGUAUAUUUUUUGGAAUCCAUUUUUUUGUUCUCUGCUUUUGGGUUCAUCAGUUUUGAGUCUAGCCCAGUGGUAGAGCUCUAGACUCUGACCACAAGGAGUAGGGUUCAAAUCCUGACCAGGUCCUGAUAUUAACAAUUUCAUGAUCAUUCUGGCUGCGUUAGCCCUGGAGACUGAAUGGAGCUAAUACUUUCUCAUAUCUCGUGUUUGCGUUCAUAGUACCCCCACCAAAAGAGGAUCCAGAAGAUCUCACAACAAAGCUGGCCAGUGAAGAGAAAAACAUCUCGCUUAGGACCAGUGCAGAUGCCUGUGAUCGCAAAGGAAAGAGUGAGGAUUUUAUGUAAUGUAGGAAAAUGUCAUCCCAUGGUUUCUGAGAUGACUGUACUGUAUGUGUAUCCAGAACACUGAUCUCUGACUACAUGGCUUACCUUUAGACUGCAUACAUGUGCUUCAUUUCAUUUCAUGAGCUUUUUUUUUUUACUGCUUACUACAUAGCUGUGGAAUUAUAAGGCAUUCAAGCCUUGAUAUGUUAGCCUUUAUUCUUCAAAUGUUCAGUUUGAUUUCAUCCUAAUUAUUUUUUGCUUUCAUUUUUGCCAUAUGUGUUAUAUUCUGUCAUAAUGACUGGAGAAAUUUAAUUAAAAUUCUAACCUGCAAGUAA